GACGAACGCUGGCGGCGUGCCUAACACAUGCAAGUCGAGCGAAUGAAGUUCCUUCGGGAACGGAUUUAGCGGCGGACGGGUGAGUAACACGUGGGCAACCUACCUCAUAGAGGGGAAUAGCCUUCCGAAAGGGAGAUUAAUACCGCAUAAGAUUGUAGUACCGCAUGGUACAGCGAUUAAAGGAGCAAUCCGCUAUGAGAUGGGCCCGCGGCGCAUUAGCUAGUUGGUGAGGUAACGGCUCACCAAGGCGACGAUGCGUAGCCGACCUGAGAGGGUGAUCGGCCACAUUGGGACUGAGACACGGCCCAGACUCCUACGGGAGGCAGCAGUGGGGAAUAUUGCACAAUGGGGGAAACCCUGAUGCAGCGACGCCGCGUGAGCGAUGAAGUAUUUCGGUAUGUAAAGCUCUAUCAGCAGGGAAGAAAAUGACGGUACCUGACUAAGAAGCACCGGCUAAAUACGUGCCAGCAGCCGCCGUAACAC
rnacentral:rRNA from 1 species